ensembl:lncRNA
GUGAUUCUUCUUUUUUUUUUUUUUCUGUUUCUGCUAAUAAUUUUAUUAGAUCUUCUGAAUUAUUCACAGAAAUAUAAAACAGCUCCAAAAGUCAUGCUAAAGAACAGAAGACCUCAGAUAGCUAAGAUACUCAAACAGGGAAUGCAGUGGUAGAGGAGUCAUAAUACCAAAUUACAAAACAUAUUUUAGACUUUUGUUCCCUAAGAAAGAACAGUUUAUUAUAUGCCUUGAUUCUGGAACUUUUACAUCUUGUUAUAGUAAGAAUUUAGAAAAAAGAAUUUAAAAGUCGAUAAAUAAAAUUCUUACUAUAGUCAAACUAUAUUCUUUCUCUUGUAAACAUGGUUUUCCAGUUGAAAAUACUUUUGACCAUAACACUUAGCUAUAAAUUUUAUGGAUAUAAUUUCUGAUCAUUUUUCCUUUUGAGUAGGAAGAGAGAGUAGUCCUGUUGCUUUUUGUAGACUCUGCUCUAAUCAUACAUUCUUCUUUAUUUAAAAAUACGUAUUCCAUUGCCUGUAGAAGGAAGCUUAAAAGUUGAACCUAAUAGGUAAGAUCAAACUCUGUGCCCUCAGCAUCCUUCAGGGCUUGUUCUGUCACUGUGCUCUCUCUAUAGUCUUUUCUUGAUAAGCUAGGCGUGAUCUAACCUUCCAUCUUUUAACCAUAUUAAAACUUGAAUCAGCUUAUGGUUAAAGCUUACAUUACACAUGGCCCAGUUCUUCCCAGGCUCACUAGCUGAUGCUGUGCUCAUCAUGUUGUGUGUUCAUAUACUGAACAAAGUACGCAAAAUAUUAAUGUUCAGACCUGAGAAGCAGCAAGGGCAGGAACAUCAAGGCUCCUGUCCUCGUUGAGUUUGGGAAACAACAAGAAAACUUAACAAAUAUACAGACAGGACCUUUUCUGUUUCAGAGUACACAUGAACACCAUGGUGUGUGAUAGGAGCUUGAGGAGUAGGAUGGUGGUGUCUUUGAAAAUGGAGGGUGUAAAGAAACAGGCAUUGGGGGCUGGGGAUUUAGCUCAGUGGUAGAGCGCUUACCUAGGAAGCGCAAGGCCCUGGGUUCGGUCCCCAGCUCCGAAAAAAAGAACCAAAAAAAAAAAAAAAAAAAAAAAAAAGAAACAGGCAUAGAUUUGGGGAGCAGAGUUCUUUGUUUGAUUACUGGAGACUGAGUCAAGGGUUUUUUUUCAUGGUAGGUAAGUACUCAUCUUCUGGGCUGUACCCUAGUUCUUUUUUGUAAGCACAUACAUAUUCAUACAUGGACUUAACACACAUGCACAUAAUUAAAAAUAAAGUUGUUUUUAAAAUGUUAAGAGAAAAUGCAUAGCCCAGGCGGUCAAUCAGUGAUACAUUGUAUUAUACACAAGGCCUUGGCUCACUCCCCAGCCGCCCGCCUCCCCCUCUGACCUGGCCCCCAAAGUUAGUUGGUAUUGUAUAUAAAAUAUAUAAUGUUCUGUAUUUUUAUAGUAUCACAUAGUUAUAGUUACAUAGUAUAUAAUUGUUACUUUGUACAAUAUUCUAAUCAUCUUGGAAAGGUAUCAAAAGUUUUUAACAUCUUAGCAAUAAUGCUUAGUAUUUUUUACAAUAUAAAUAGUUCCACUUUUUUUUGCCUCAUUUUUAUUUUGAUGGUACUAGGAUUGAACCUAGGGAUAAGCACUAGCAUUAAACUGUAUCCUUUCCUCAUAUUUUUUUUAAAAAAAAAUUUUUAUGUGUGUAUUUUGCCUACAUGUGUGUCUGUGUAUCAUGUAUAUGCUUGGUGCCUGCCAGAGGCCAGAAAGGGGCGUCAUAUACCCCAGAAAUAUAUCUCUUUGUAGGCAGAAAUCUGUUCUGUUUGAAUUCUGUAAAGAGAUAGUUGAAUUCAUCAUUAAAAGCAAGAGUCAACUAAGCCUCUCAAAAAGGAGCAUUGAUUCUAACUCACUUCAAAAACUGAAUUACCAUUGUUAAUAUCCUUGUCCGUUCUUUAAACUGCUAAGUCUUUUUAGAAAAAUGUAUCUACUGGUCUGGUAUGAAGUUGACCAGUCCUGAGGGAGGAGUGAGGUUGAAUAUAGGAAAGAUGAAAACGACGUAAUAGGUUCAUUCUCCAGCACCCCCUGGUCACUGAAUCACUGACUACUACUUAGUGCAUGUAGUAAAAAUGUAGACAAGUGUUGACUAUCAACUGAUUUCUUAAGGUCUAAGUUACUUUUAACUCAUAGCCUGAGUCAAAGUACUAGGCUUAAUUGUUUUAUAGAUUAUUAGGGAUUAUGUUGAGGAGUUUUUAAAGUACAUUCUUGAUUUUGCAAGAUAAUUUUUCUUUCUGGAAGGUCAGUCAUGUAUGAAAAUUCUGAGUGUGUCAUAGAUGAUGACCAUGUAAUGAGUCCUACAGAGUGAGGGAGGCACUUCAGUUAUAAGACCGUAAGUCUUUGUAAAGCCAAGUCAUCUCAUGAAAGGCACUUGGGAUACAGUGAGGUUGAUUCACAUGUUUCCUUUGUUCAGUAUGACUAGUUAUUUUUCUAAAUAUGUUAAGAUUUUAGUGUGUAAUUCUAAAUAGUGUGGUCAGUGUGGAAGUCCUGAUUUUCAUGUAGGAAAUGUACAGUAUAACUGGUAUAAAUGAAGAUGGAUAGAAAAGACCCAAACACAGAAAAAAUAAAAAGCAUAUUCCCCACAAUCUCAG